UGGGGAAUAUUGGACAAUGGGCGAAAGCCUGAUCCAGCCAUGCCGCGUGUGUGAAGAAGGUCUUCGGAUUGUAAAGCACUUUAAGUUGGGAGGAAGGGCAGUAAGCGAAUACCUUGCUGUUUUGACGUUACCGACAGAAUAAGCACCGGCUAACUCUGUGCCAGCAGCCGCGGUAAUACAGAGGGUGCAAGCGUUAAUCGGAAUUACUGGGCGUAAAGCGCGCGUAGGUGGUUCGUUAUGUUGAAUGUGAAAGCCCCGGGCUCAACCUGGGAACUGCAUCCAAAACUGGCGAGCUAGAGUAGGGCAGAGGGUGGUGGAAUUUCCUGUGUAGCGGUGAAAUGCGUAGAUAUAGGAAGGAACACCAGUGGCGAAGGCGACCACCUGGGCUCAUACUGACACUGAGGUGCGAAAGCGUGGGGAGCAAACAGG
rnacentral:rRNA from 1 species